ACGGGUGCGUAACGCGUGGGAAUCUGCCCUUAGGUUCGGAAUAACAGCUGGAAACGGCUGCUAAUACCGGAUGAUAUCGCGAGAUCAAAGAUUUAUCGCCUGAGGAUGAGCCCGCGUUGAAUUAGGUAGUUGGUGGGGUAAAGGCCUACCAAGCCGACGAUCCAUAGCUGGUCUGAGAGGAUGAUCAGCCACACUGGGACUGAGACACGGCCCAGACUCCUACGGGAGGCAGCAGUGGGGAAUAUUGGACAAUGGGCGCAAGCCUGAUCCAGCAAUGCCGCGUGAGUGAUGAAGGCCCUAGGGUUGUAAAGCUCUUUUACCCGGGAAGAUAAUGACUGUACCGGGAGAAUAAGCCCCGGCUAACUCCGUGCCAGCAGCCGCGGUAAUACGGAGGGGGCUAGCGUUGUUCGGAAUUACUGGGCGUAAAGCGCACGUAGGCGGCUUUGUAAGUCAGAGGUGAAAGCCUGGAGCUCAACUCCAGAACUGCCUUUGAGACUGCAUCGCUUGAAUCCAGGAGAGGUCAGUGGAAUUCCGAGUGUAGAGGUGAAAUUCGUAGA
rnacentral:rRNA from 1 species